rnacentral:rRNA from 1 species
AACGAACGCUGGCGGCAGGCUUAACACAUGCAAGUCGAACGGGUGUAGCAAUACAUCAGUGGCAGACGGGUGAGUAACACGUGGGAACCUUCCUAGGGGUACGGAACAACUCAGGGAAACUUGAGCUAAUACCGUAUACGUCCGUGAGGAGAAAGAUUUAUCGCCCUUAGACGGGCCCGCGUCGGAUUAGGUAGUUGGUGGGGUAACGGCCUACCAAGCCUACGAUCCGUAGCUGAUCUUAGAGGAUGAUCAGCCACAUUGGGACUGAGACACGGCCCAGACUCCUACGGGAGGCAGCAGUGGGGAAUCUUGGACAAUGGGCGCAAGCCUGAUCCAGCCAUGCCGCGUGAGUGAAGAAGGCCUUAGGGUUGUAAAGCUCUUUUACCAGGGACGAUAAUGACGGUACCUGGAGAAUAAGCCCCGGCAAACUUCGUGCCAGCCGCCGCCGUAAAAC